UAUGACAAGCAGCGUACAGUUGAAAUAAAAAGAUAGAUACUAAAAAUAUACACAAAUGUAUUAAGACAAGAGUAAAUUAAUCAAGGGAUCAGUCAUGGAAAUUUCAUCCUUGGAUUUACUUAUCAGAUAUGAAGAAAAUACAUACGUACUGAAGCAGCUGGAAUGGAAAGAAUUAGGAACCUGUAAUUCAGAGAUUUUCAAAAAUUCUUGGAAUGUGAGACGCGCUAGAUAGACGAACGCCAAAUAAUUUAACAUUCUCAGAACCUAGAAUUUAAAGAAUUUGGAUUCUGAGAUAGUUACUUUGCAACAAAUAUGAGGGUUAGGCUAACCAGGGUACGAGGAAUAUAAAAGCACGAGCAUCUAAGAUUCAAGGAAGCUUCAGGAAUAAUUCAUGAGUUACAGUAUCCAAGAUUCAAGAAAGAUCUAAGAUUGAGAGAGUCUAUAUCUUAUGAUAUAUCAUUAUUCAAGAAAGUUAAGAUAAAUAUACUGAAUUCAGAAAGUCUGAAAUUUAGAUUUAUUCGGAAUUUGCUUAAAAUCAAAAUUUUACUAAUUUUAAUCAAUAAAUAGAGUUUGGUACUUUCCAUCAUCUAUUAUUUCUCUAACAAGAAAAGAUGGAUUUGAUUCUUCUUGCGGUAUUCAAUGUAAUUAUUGUUGUUUGCGCGCGAAUUGAUCUCCAGGGAGAUUUAUUAUCAUCAGUACCUUCUUACCUGCCAGUCAAUCUUACAGUGAAUUGUCGCAUAUCUUCAUUUCGUGAAGUUUUCGUUUCUAAAUUUAAAUAGGCAACAGCUUACACAGAUUGCAAAAGCAAUCUGCCAUUUAUAAGGCAGCUGUUUUGCCUGUAAAUUUAAGAAUCGUGUCUCACAAUGAUUGUCCUCAAAAUGAUCGUAAUUAUUUCUAAACAAUAAACUCGAUAAAAAUCUGAAAA